CGGUGGGCACCUGGUCCGGGGAGAUGAAGUGGAUGUGCGUGUCCACGCCCCCGGCGGUGAGGAUCUUCCGCUCCCCCGCAAUGAUCUCUGUACUCGCGCCGAUGACGAUGUCCACGCCGUCGGCAAUCUGCGGGUUUCCGGCCUUGCCGAUCCGGAAGAUGUGGCCGUCCUUCAGUGCGACGUCGGCCUUGUAGAUCCCGGUGUAGUCCAGCACCACCACAUUGGUGAUGACGGUGUCCGGCACACCGCCAUCAGGACCGCCGUCCCGGGUGGCCUGGCCGUUCUGGCCCAUGCCGUCCCGG
rnacentral:sRNA from 1 species